GGACAUGAUUCUGGAAAAAUCCCGCCGCUUUGUUGUGAAAAUGGAGUAGCGGUUGAUAAGUGGGUUCGACUCCCUCCAUGUCCGCCA
rnacentral:tRNA from 1 species